UAUUUUAGCCUAGUUAGAGGAACCUGUUUUAUAAUCGACAAACCACGUUAAUUUUACUUGCUUUAAAUAGCCUGUAUACCGUCAUUAUUAGAUAACUUUUAAAGAAAUAGUUAUUAUAAUUAAACUCAAAUUAAAUAUAUUAGAUCAAGGCGCAGCUAAUAUGCAAGUAAAAAUGGGUUACAAUAAAACUUAUUUACCACGAAAUGUUAUAAGAAAAAUAACAUAAAGGAGGAUUUAAUUGUAAUUAUCUAUAAAAAGAUAUUUUGAUAUCAGCUCUAAAAUAUGUACAUAU
rnacentral:rRNA from 1 species